rnacentral:rRNA from 1 species
CCUACGGGAGGCUGCAGUGGGGAAUAUUGCACAAUGGGGGAAACCCUGAUGCAGCGACGCCGCGUGAGUGAAGAAGUAUUUCGGUAUGUAAACUUCUAUCAUCAGGGAAGAAAAUGACGGUACCUGAUUAAGAAGCCCCGGCUAACUACGUGCCAGCAGCCGCGGUAAUACGUAGGGGGCAAGCGUUAUCCGGAUUCACUGGGUGUAAAGGGAGCGUAGGCGGCAGUACAAGUCUGGAGUGAAAUGCCGGGGCUUAACCCCGGAACUGCAUUGGAAACUGUGCUGCUAGAGUGCUGGAGAGGUAAGUGGAAUUCCUAGUGUAGCGGUGAAAUGCGUGGAUAUUAGGAGGAAUACUAGUGGCGAAGGCGGCCUGCUGGAAUGUAACUGACGUUGAGGCGCGAAAGCGUGGGGAGCAAACAGGAUUAGAUACCCCAGUAGUC